rnacentral:pre_miRNA from 1 species
UCUUAUGGAUGAGCAAAGAAUGUGGUUUACUGAGGUGAAGCCUACUCCUGGUGCAGAUGCUGUGAA